GACGAACGCUGGCGGCGUGCUUAACACAUGCAAGUCGAACGGAAAGGCCCUGCUUUUGUGGGGUGCUCGAGUGGCGAACGGGUGAGUAACACGUGAGUAACCUGCCCUUGACUUUGGGAUAACUUCAGGAAACUGGGGCUAAUACCGGAUAGGAGCUCCUGCUGCAUGGUGGGGGUUGGAAAGUUUCGGCGGUUGGGGAUGGAUUCGCGGCUUAUCAGCUUGUUGGUGGGGUAGUGGCUUACCAAGGCUUUGACGGGUAGCCGGCCUGAGAGGGUGACCGGCCACAUUGGGACUAAGAUACGGCCCAGACUCCUACGGGGGGCAGCAGUGGGGAAUAUUGCACAAUGGGCGGAAGCCUGAUACAGCAACGCCGCGUGCGGGAUGACGGCCUUCGGGUUGUGAACCGCUUUCGCCUGUGACGAAGCGUGAGUGACGGUAAUGGGUAAAGAAGCACCGGCUAACUACGUG
rnacentral:rRNA from 1 species